AGUGAACGCUGGCGGUAGGCCUAACACAUGCAAGUCGAACGGCAGUACAGGAGAGCUUGCUCUCUGGGUGGCGAGUGGCGGACGGGUGAGGAAUACAUCGGAAUCCACUCUGUCGUGGGGGAUAACGUAGGGAAACUUACGCUAAUACCGCAUACGACCUACGGGUGAAAGCAGGGGACCUUCGGGCCUUGCGCGAUUGAAUGAGCCGAUGUCGGAUUAGCUAGUUGGCGGGGUAAAGGCCCACCAAGGCGACGAUCCGUAGCUGGUCUGAGAGGAUGAUCAGCCACACUGGAACUGAGACACGGUCCAGACUCCUACGGGAGGAAGCAGUGGGGAAUAUUGGACAAUGGGCGCAAGCCUGAUUCAGCCAUACCGCGUGGGUGAAGAAGGCCUUCGGGUUGUAAAGCCCUUUUGUUGGGAAAGAAAUCCAGCUGGCUAAUACCCGGUUGGGAUGACGGUACCCAAAGAAUAAGCACCGGCUAACUUCGUGCCAGCCGCCGCCGUAA
rnacentral:rRNA from 1 species